UACGUAGGGCGCAAGCGUUGUCCGGAAUUAUUGGGCGUAAAGAGCUCGUAGGCGGUUUGUCGCGUCUGCUGUGAAAAACUCGAGGCUCAACCUCGGGCUUGCAGUGGGGUACGGGCAGACUAGAGUGCGGUAGGGGGUGACUGGAAUUCCUGGUGUAGCGGUGAAAUGCGCAGAUAUCAGGAGGAACACCGGUGGCGAAGGCGGGGUCUCUGGGGCCCGAUACUGACGCUGAGGAGCGAAAGCGUGGGGAGCGAACAGG
rnacentral:rRNA from 1 species